CGUUGGGAGCUCUCCCAUAUGGUCGACCUGCAGGCGGCCGCGAAUUCACUAGUGAUUGGCUGCUGGCACGGAGUUAGCCGGAGCUUAUUCUCCCGAUACUGUCAUUAUCAUCUCGGGUAAAAGAGCUUUACAACCCUAAGGCCUUCAUCACUCACGCGGCAUUGCUGGAUCAGGCUUUCGCCCAUUGUCCAAUAUUCCCUACUGCUGCCUCCCGUAGGAGUCUGGGCCGUGUCUCAGUCCCAGUGUGGCUGAUCAUCCUCUCAGACCAGCUAAGGAUCGUUGCCUUGGUGAGCCUUUACCCCACCAACUAGCUAAUCCUACGCGGGCUCAUCCCUGGGCGAUAAAUCUUUGGACUUUCGUCAUCAUCCGGUAUUAGCUUCAGUUUCCCGAAGUUAUUCCGAACCCAAGGGCAGAUUCCCACGCGUUACGCACCCGUGCGCCACUAAGGCCGAAGCCUUCGUUCGACUUGCAUGUGUUAGGCAUGCCCCCAGCGUUCGUUCUGAGCCAUGAUCAAACUCUAAUCGAAUUCCCGCGGCCGCCAUGGCGGCCGGGAGCAUG
rnacentral:rRNA from 1 species